rnacentral:rRNA from 1 species
UACAGAGGGUGCAAGCGUUAAUCGGAAUUACUGGGCGUAAAGGGUGUGUAGGUGGUUAGGUAAGUUAGAUGUGAAAUCCCCGGGCUUAACCCGGAAACUGCCAUUGAUACUAUUUGUCUUGAAUACUGUGGAGGUCAGCGGAAUAUGUCAUGUAGCGGUGAAAUGCUUAGAUAUGACAUAGAACACCAAUUGCGAAGGCAGCUGGCUACACAAAUAUUGACACUGAGGCACGAAAGCGUGGGGAUCAAACAGG